UACGUAGGGAGCAAGCGUUGUCCGGAAUCAUUGGGCGUAAAGAGCGCGUAGGCGGCCCUGUAAGUCCGCUCUGAAAGUCAAAGGCUCAACCUUUGAAAGCGGGUGGAUACUGCAGGGCUAGAGUCCGGAAGAGGCGAGUGGAAUUCCUGGUGUAGCGGUGGAAUGCGCAGAUAUCAGGAGGAACACCAACGGCGAAGGCAGCUCGCUGGGACGUUACUGACGCUGAGACGCGAAAGCGUGGGGAGCAAACAGG
rnacentral:rRNA from 1 species